rnacentral:rRNA from 1 species
GACGAACGCUGGCGGCGUGCUUAACACAUGCAAGUCGAACGGAAAGGCCCUGCUUUUGUUGGGUGCUCGAGUGGCGAACGGGUGUGUAACACGUGAGUAACCUGCCCUUGACUUUGUGAUAACUUCAGGAAACUGGGGCUAAUACCGGAUAGGAGCUCCUGCUGCAUGGUGGGGGUUGGAAAGUUUCGGCGGUUGGGGAUGGACUCGCGGCUUAUCAGCUUGUUGGUGGGGUAGUGGCUUACCAAGGCUUUGACGGGUAGCCGGCCUGAGAGGGUGACCGGCCACAUGGGGACUGAGAUACGGCCCAGACUCCUACGGGAGGCAGCAGUGGGGAAUAGUGCACAAUGGGCGGAAGCCUGAUGCAGCAACGCCGCGUGCGGGAUGACGGCCUUCGGGUUGUAAACCGCUUUCGGCUGUGAAGAAGCGAGAGUGACGGUAAUGGGUAAAGAAGCACCGGCUAACUACGUG